GAACCGGGAUGAAGCUUCAAAUUUAAAAUCUGGCGUCUUUCAGGCGUCCGAAGUUGUAAUCUAUAGAGGCGUUUUCCGCGCCGGACCGCGUCCAAGUCUCUUGGAAUAGAGUAUCAAAGAGGGUGACAAUCCCGUACUUGACGCGACAACCGGUGCUCUGUGAUACGUUCUCAAUGAGUCGAGUUGUUUGGGAAUGCAGCUCUAAAUGGGUGGUAAAUUCCAUCUAAGGCUAAAUAUUGGCGAGAGACCGAUAGCGAACAAGUACCGUGAGGGAAAGAUGAAAAGCACUUUGGAAAGAGAGUUAAACAGCACGUGAAAUUGUUAAAAGGGAAACGAUUGAAGUCAGUCGUGUGAAAGGUAUUCAGCCGUCUCUGGCGGUGUAUUUGCCUUUCACGGGUCAACAUCAGUUUGAUCCGGUAGAAAAAGGCGGGAGGAAGGUGGCACCCUCGGGUGUGUUAUAGCCUCCUGUCAUAUGUGCCGGACCAGACUGAGGAACGCAGCUUGCCGCAAGGCCGGGGUUCGCCCACGUACAAGCUUAGGAUGUUGACAUAAUGGCUUUAAACGACCCGUCUUG
rnacentral:rRNA from 1 species